CUUAGGCGUGUGACUGCGUACCUUUUGUAUAAUGGGUCAGCGACUUAUAUUCUGUAGCAAGGUUAACCGAAUAGGGGAGCCGAAGGGAAACCGAGUCUUAACUGGGCGUUAAGUUGCAGGGUAUAGACCCGAAACCCGGUGAUCUAGCCAUGGGCAGGUUGAAGGUUGGGUAACACUAACUGGAGGACCGAACCGACUAAUGUUGAAAAAUUAGCGGAUGACUUGUGGCUGGGGGUGAAAGGCCAAUCAAACCGGGAGAUAGCUGGUUCUCCCCGAAAGCUAUUUAGGUAGCGCCUCGUGAAUUCAUCUCCGGGGGUAGAGCACUGUUUCGGCAAGGGGGUCAUCCCGACUUACCAACCCGAUGCAAACUGCGAAUACCGGAGAAUGUUAUCACGGGAGA
rnacentral:rRNA from 1 species